rnacentral:miRNA from 1 species
AAAGUUCAGUCUUCAUAGUAUC